CCAUUAUCCAAAUGCUCUGUGUCUUCGGGGCCCCCAGUGGCCCCCGUGUGAUGGCAAGAUGUUACCUCUGUUUUUUGCAAGCCACGUAGCAAAUAAUUACAGCUGUGUUUCUUGUUCUGCUGCUAAGGACUAGCUGUAAGAGUGCCAUGAGAGGAGGAUCAGGGCCAGGUCUAUGCUGAUCCCACUGGUUCCAGCUGUUCUCAUUCACGUCCCACUAAGAUGGAUUUCUGAAGGGUGGCUGAGCCUCAGUCCUGCCACAGCCUCUGCUGAAGGGAGGGCACUGCCUUUACCCUGCAGGCACAGUGCAGUGUGAAGCUUUAGAGCCCUGGCAUUGUCAAAAUCACUGUCAUCCCCAUGUCACAGUACCUUGAGGAGCACAGAUGCUGCAAGUCCCAGGGGACAGGCAUCCUGGGCAGCUGGUGCAGUUGGAAGGAGUUAUGCAAAGUGCAGAGAGUGCAUUCCAAAGCUGGGAUGCUGCAGUGAUUUGCAAAGCAUUAUCAGCACAGCACUAUCCAGCAGUGGAGGGAUAGAAGCUGAACAGUCGGAAAACCCAGCUAUAUCCUAUAAUAACAAAUACAGAGCUAAAGUAAAAAGGAAGGAGCAAUAUGGUUAGUAUCUGAUAAUACGUCUACCCUCUAGCCACUGCUGAAAGACACUCUAGCCCACACUAGAUUUAAGAUGGAUGAGAAGUUUGCUGUCAAACAGGCAAGGCUUAAAAGAGGAGAGGAACUGAAGGUUUGAUCUUUAACACCAGAUGGAAAGGAGAAAGAUGAAAGAAAAGUUAAUCAGAGACUUUUCUUAAGCUCUACUGAUUACUGGAAAGCUUUUGACAUGGUCUGUAGUAUGCAGAAGUGAGUGGUGAGCCUUGAUAUUAACCAGCUCACCUAACAGGUUUUUUUUCCCCCCAGAGUUUAACAACUCAGUCAAUAGCCUGCUGGUGAAUUUUUUUUCUCUUUUUUUUUUUUUUGCAAUGGAAUUACAUUUUCCAUUGCAAAACUGACAAGGUAUUUCUUCUUCACAACCCUUCCAAGCGGCCCUAGCGAGCAUUUCCUUUAAAAGUCAGUCUCAUCCCCAGUGACACCAGCAAUGGAAGAAGCUGGAGAGAAGUGGUGAUAGUCUUCUCUUGGACUGCCCGGGGAGCAGGUGCUUCAGGCCAGUUAUUUCAGGAAUGGGUUCUUCAAGUUGGACUUGAGGACUCCAGUUGGCUGUGGCUGGGACAGAAUAUCUCUGUGAAGAUUCAGCUCCUUAUGAACAACUCCUGCUCCUGUUUCUUCAUGCCAGGCCGGAUUCUCCCAUGCGCAGCCCCACAUGAGGAACCUGUCCUGAUUCCACAACACGCUGUAACUGUGUAUUGAAGCCUUAUCAACUUCCUUGGCUCCAUGUUUAAAGCCAGGGAGGUGGUUAUGGGCAUUCCUGAGUGAGGGUCAUGGAGUUUUGUCUUAUUCCAUAAAUAUUUCAGUAGAAAGCCAACGGAAGUGUUUGUGAGUGAAGUUCCGAUGUAAAUCAGAGCUUUGACAACUUGUCCAUUUAUCACAACAACUGCUAUCCCAUUCUAUUGGGUACUGCCGUGGUACUUCAGCUGAGGUAUUAGAGGUACUUGGGCUAUUCAGAUUUUGACAAACGUUUAUUUCUAAAUACUCCUUAAAACUAUUUCUCAAAUCAGUAAAAAGAAUUCAUUCAAUAUAUGUUUUACAGUGGGUGGGUCUGUUUUUUGCUUGAGAUUGCUGAGGUUUUUAUGGUAAUUCUAAAGGCAGGCACCUAGCAGAGAGGGGCCAUCUGCCUGCAGUGAAACCAUCUCCCCUGGCUCCAGAUGCCCACACUGCAGUCCCUGUGGGCUCUCCCCAUAGUCAGCAGAGCACUUCCAGUGUGUCUGUCCUCAGCCUUGGUUUAGGUAUUGGAUUUAGGAUGGGCUGGUUCAUGCUGCAGUGACUUUCCUUGCCAUUGGCUGUUGCAGUGCAUAGGGCUGUUGUUCAUUGCCCGGCCAUGGGUGUUCCUGCUAUCAGAGGAGCACCGCGGUAUUUCCCUAGCCUCCAGCUUCUGCCCAGUUGUGGGGCUCUCAAAGGCCCUUGGUCACAGCCAGGUGCCCUGGGGUUCUCAGGUGCCGUUGCAGACCUCUCUGAGGUGACUGCAUCCCUUCCAGGGGCUGGCUCGGUGCUCCUCAGCUCAGGCAGCCCGCGUGCAGGUCCCAGGAGAACUCAGGGUGUUCACAGACCCUGGGAGCUGGGACUGAGCAGGACCUGGGGACGUGUUCUCCCAGAAGCAGGUUCAGAGAAAACACUGGCAGCAGCUCUUAUCUUUGAAAUUGAAAAGCUUGCCAUCAGAUCUCGGCAGCUGGAGAGCUUAAGCAAAGGAUAUCCAACUGCUCGAUUCCCAGUUCAAGGUCAGGACUUGUACUGCACAGUAUGUUGUGAAAAAAAGAAAUUUGGUGAGAGCUGUGCUACUAACACCGAUGAUGUUCAGAUCUGCCAGGGAGGUGAGAUGACUUAGCUGACCUUCUCCUGAUGAAGUCCUGAUGAUGUCCUGGGCAGUGCCAGCACAUGAACAUUUCUCCAUCCAGCUCUCAGCUCUGCACUCCCAGCAGCAGGGGUUUGGUGGCAGGGAAUGAGCUCUCCCUGGCUGAGCCACCAGGGACAGAACUCCUUUCCCCCGCUGCGUGCCGAUGUGCCGGCAGUGAGUGGGAGCUGCUGCAGAUGUGUGCAGCAGUGCAAGCUGCUGGUGGGUGGGGGCACCGAGGACCUGGCCAGAGCCCCCCUGUAAGCACUGCGUUUCCAUCUCAGCACACUGCACCUCCUCGGUUUGAUCUCCUUUGCUACCUGCCCGCUCAGGCUCUCUUACCAGGCGGAAGCGUCUGACCAGAACAAAGUCGCUGCUCGCCAGCUAACAUGGUUUCAUGAGCUCUUUGUUGUUUUCCUUUUCAUACCUGCUAAUGUGAUACAGUGAGAGCUAUUCUGCGCCAUGUGCGCAGCAAGGCGCAGGCUGGCAAGCAGCCCGGGAAGCCCUGCCACGUGUCCCAGCUCUCGCACGGUGCUCCGCUUCCCCAGCUUUGCUGCUGCUCAUUUCUCCCAGCAGCUUGCAAACAGCAGAGACCUUGUGGUCAGAGCUUCCUGGUGGUUUGGCAUCAAGGUGUAAACAGAUCGACUUCAUUCAGGAGAGUUUCUUGCAGAGAUGGAUCGAGUGUGCAGUCCGGUCUUUUCCCCCUGUUAAUUUCCAGGAGGGAUGUGCCAGACUCCUCCCUGCUCAGGUGAAGUCAGCAAGUGGGCAGGGACAUUGCAGAGACCUUCAGGGGAAGGGGAAGAAAGUUUCUUUUCUCUUUCUUUUCCUUUUUUUUUUUUCCUUUUUUUUUCUUUCUUUUUUUAAUUCUGAGUGCCAUUACCCCUCACCUCUGAACCAAGAAAGACUUUACGUGGUGUCAUAAUUUAGCAAAUUACUUCCUCAAAGGAAGGUCAAACAUUUUACCAUUCGAUCAAUAGGAAGCGACUUACAAAUCAUGUGUAUUGAUCAUUGUAAUCAUUCAGAGGAAUGUAGGGCAGACACUAAAAUCACAUGCACUUAGUCUUAAUUGCCCACAUUAAAGCAAUUAUGCCCCAAAACUGUCAUUGUCUAAUGCUACGCACACUACCCAGCAUGGCAACUUUUAGCCAUACAUAUUUAAUCAUAAAUCAGCCUCUUAGGUCCGUUGCACUAACGACCUACAAUAUUGCCGUAAUUAUGCAAAUAUAGCUAUGUCUUUUUUCAUCGACAUGUAAGAUCAUGUUGCUUUUGGGAGCCAAGCGGAGGAAAAUAAGCCCCUGUAUUAAUGCAGCUGGUACUUAAUACGUGUAUUUUACAGCUGUGCUGUGCACUCAUGACACAAGUACUCAAAGUGACCUGAAAUCGCUAAUGAACAGAGAGCCUUUGUAAAAGCAGUCACAGGUCAAGGACUUGCAGAUAAAACUUGCUGAGCAGCGCCUUGGUGGUAGGCUGGUGUCAGGAGAGGGCUGUUUGCUUGGGGAUGUUUAUAAACAUUGUUUUCUAGGGGAUCAUUUUGCCUAGAGGGGUCCCGGCCAAAUAGUCAUUCGUUAACAUUAAAAUAAAUGUUUUCUGAUCUUCUGGACAUGAGGUGGGUGCUGCAUUCCUGUAGUCAGAGAAGGCAACAUGUCGGCUCAGGGCAGUUUUGUGAUUUGUUCACACAGCCUCUGCAAUGGAAAGAUUGCUCAGGAAUUUUCUCCUCUGACAAUUUCUUAACAGAUCUGGAAAAUUAACCAUUCUGAUUCAUUAUAUACCUCACGUUUUGCAAGCAAGAGCAUUCAAAAUGACAAUGUUACCUAGCAUGGGACAGCAAGAUUUGGUUUUCACAGAGAAUAUGUGUUCUUGAAGUAGAUGAGAGAUUUUCUCCUAGUUCUGGGACUGAAUGGGAGAAGCUGCCUCCUUGGCAGCAGGUCCGGCCGAGACACGCACACCUUCACUUGGAGAUGUGAGGCUGCAGCCCCCCCAGGCCCUGCCCUUGUGUUGGAGCAGCAAGGGAGGGGCCUGUGGAAGCUGAGAGCUAAAUCGGUUCUGUCCCAGGAAGAUCUCUGGCUCCAAAUCUCAAGCAAAUGCAUUUUAACAAGAUUUUGAGAUUGUCUGCAAUGUUUUUGAUCUGCUGGGGGUCUUACCCUGCUCAAAGCAACAAUGUGCAGUGCAUAAGGUAUCGUGUUGGUCCUGUGCGUACAGGUGGGCACUGCGUCACACAUGAUUUAGAGCAAGCUUUUAAAGGGGGAAAGGAAGUUGUUUCUCUCCAAGCCACAGCCCCAGAAUAGCGAUGGAAGCAUUAACCGCUGCUCAGAGGAGGACCCAGGCUGUUCCAGCAGAGGAGGAAGGACAUUCACGGGCUCAGGACAGCUGUGCCGUGCCCGACUGGCUGGGCUGGGCACAACGGCUCGGAGCCACAGCACUGCCCACACUCCUGCUCCGCCUCAGGAGCAACGAAGUUGUUGGCUGGCUCCUUUCUGAAAGUUAAAAUUGGUUUGUCAUUUUCUCUUCUCGCACCUUAUCUCGUUUCUGCAUUCUUCCCACUUGAGUAGUCAAAGUGAUUGAAAGCCGAAAACUGAGCGGAUCUGUCCCCGCAGCGACUUUCCUCGCGUUUCUCAUUUUCCGUCGUAUCAAAUGGGCUCUUUGUCUCUGUGCUCCCCUGAUGUUGCCUCUGUUACACGGAGAUAUUCUUCAGGUCACAGGGGUUAAAAGGGGGCUAAAAAGGAGAUCAUAUUGGACUUGCUUUACACAGCCAUGUAGCAUUAGCCCCAACGCCCAAUAGAGGAAAGAUAUACUACUCCUAUUUGAUGAGCAGCAGGCCAAUAAAUUCAUUAAUCAUCAUUUUAUGCCUCAUCAAACACUUCCCAAG
ensembl:lncRNA